rnacentral:misc_RNA from 1 species
AAUUCUCAAAGCAAGUCUUUUGUUCGUUCGAUCGGCUUUGCUUUGGACUUGGAGGUCUUUGCAGAUUCACGUCUGCUCCUCUCAAAUAGAUUAGCUGGAUCUCCAUGAACUUGGUUCCACUCGGCGUGAUAAGUAUCACUCGCCGAGGACACCCGUUAAAAAAGGUGGCCAGGGCUCGAGGAUGAGCCGCUUCCAACGGUCUAUUAGAUUAGACGACGCUUUAUG